rnacentral:misc_RNA from 1 species
GAUGAAGAACGUAGCGAAAUGCGAUAAGUAAUGUGAAUUGCAGAAUUCAGUGAAUCAUCGAAUCUUUGAACGCACCUUGCACUCCUUGGUAUUCCGAGGAGUACGCCUGUUCGAGUGUUAUGAAGCUCUCAAAACGCAAUUGGCUUAAAACCUGAUUGUUGUUUUGGAUUUGAACUUUGCCGUGUUAUAACGGCUGGUUUUAAAAGUAUUAGCUGGUACUAGAACGAAUUGGUUCUACUCAACGUGAUAAUUAUCUGAUCGUUGAGGACAUUCCUUUCACGAGGAAUGGCCAUAGUAAAUUCAAUGGACUGCUUCUAAUCUGGCUUUAAUUCUUUAUUGGAUUAACCACUUUUCAAAUCUGACCUCGAAUCAGGUGGGACUACCCGCUGAACUUAAGCAUAUCAAUAAGCGUAGGA